GAAUUUUUUCUUUUCUUUUUUGGAGAAUUUCUUCUUCUUUUUCUUGGGGUUUUUGGUCUUGGCCUUCUUCUUCUUGGAAGAGAUUGAGAGAAGAGGAAGGGAGAGAGAGAUCAGAAGAAGAAAGAGAAG
rnacentral:ribozyme from 13 species